rnacentral:rRNA from 1 species
GAUGAACGCUGGCGGCGUGCCUAAUACAUGCAAGUCGAGCGAACAGAUGAGGAGCUUGCUCCUCUGACGUUAGCGGCGGACGGGUGAGUAACACGUGGAUAACCUACCUAUAAGACUGGGAUAACUUCGGGAAACCGGAGCUAAUACCGGAUAAUAUAUUGAACCGCAUGGUUCAAUAGUGAAAGACGGUUUUGCUGUCACUUAUAGAUGGAUCCGCGCCGCAUUAGCUAGUUGGUAAGGUAACGGCUUACCAAGGCAACGAUGCGUAGCCGACCUGAGAGGGUGAUCGGCCACACUGGAACUGAGACACGGUCCAGACUCCGACGGGAGGCAGCAGUAGGGAAUCUUCCGCAAUGGGCGAAAGCCUGACGGAGAAACGCCGCGUGAGUGAUGAAGGUCUUCGGAUCGUAAAACUCUGUUAUUAGGGAAGAACAAAUGUGUAAGUAACUAUGCACGUCUUGACGGUACCUAAUCAGAAAGCCACGGCUAACUACGUG